rnacentral:rRNA from 1 species
UACGUAGGGUGCAAGCGUUGUCCGGAUUUAUUGGGCGUAAAGAGCUCGUAGGUGGUUCGGUAAGUCGGAUGUGAAAUCUCCAGGCUCAACCUGGAGGGGUCAUUCGAUACUGCCGUGACUAGAGUUCGGUAGGGGAGUGUGGAAUUCUUGGUGGAGCGGUGAAAUGCGCAGAUAUCAGGAGGAACACCCGUAGCGAAGGCGGCACUCUGGGCCGAUACUGACACUGAGGAGCGAAAGCGUGGGGAGCGAACAGG